rnacentral:rRNA from 1 species
ACGCCUUAUACAUGCAAGUCGAACGCAGUAGCAAUACUGAGUGGCAAACGGGUGAGUAUAAUGUGGGUAUCUGCCUUUUGGUUUGGAAUAACAUGAGGAAACUUGUGCUAAUACCGAAUAAGCCUUCACAGGGAAAGUUUUAUACGCCGAAAGAUGAGCCCGCACUUGAUUAGUUUGUUGGUGAGGUAAAAGCUCACCAAGACGAUUAUCAAUAGCUGGUCUGAGAGGACGAUCAGCCACAUUGGGACUGAGACACGGCCCAGACUCCUACGGGAGGCAGCAGUAAGGAAUCUUGCACAAUGGGGGAAACCCUGAUGCAGCGAUGCCGCGUGAGUGAAGAAGGCCCUUGGGUUGUAAAACUCUUUCGUCGGGGAAGAAAAUGACUGUACCCGAAUAAGAAGGUCCGGCUAACUUCGUGCCAGCAGCCGCGGUAAUACGAAGGGACCUAGCGUAGUUCGGAAUUACUGGGCUUAAAGAGCUCGUAGGUGGUUAAAAAAGUUGAUGGUGAAAUCCCAAGGCUCAACCUUGGAACUGCCAUCAAAACUUUUUAGCUAGAGUGUGAUAGAGGAAAGUGGAAUUUCUAGUGUAGAGGUGAAAUUCGUAGAUAUUAGAAAGAACACCAAAUGCGAAGGCAACUUUCUGGGUCACUACUGACACUGAGGAGCGAAAGCAUGGGUAGCGAAGAGGAUUAGAUACCCUCGUAGUCCAUGCCGUAAACGAUGUGUGCUAGACGUUGGGAAUAUAUUUUUCAGUGUCGCAGCGAAAGCAUUAAGCACACCGCCUGGGGAGUAC